UACAGAGACUGCAAGCGUUAUUCGGAUUCACUGGGCGUAAAGGGUGCGCAGGCGGCCGUGUGUGUGAGGCGUGAAAGCCCGAUGCUUAACAUCGGAAUUGCACCUCAAACUACACGGCUAGAGCAUUGGAGAGGGUAGCGGAAUUCACGGUGUAGCAGUGAAAUGCGUAGAUAUCGGGAGGAACACCAGUGGCGAAGGCGACUACCUGGCCUGUUCUUGACGCUGAGGCGCGAAAGCUAGGGGAGCAAACAGG
rnacentral:rRNA from 1 species